rnacentral:rRNA from 1 species
AACCUGAUCCAGCCUCCCGCGUGUGCGAUGAAGGCCUUCGGGUUGUAAAGCACUUUUGGCAGGAAAGAAACGUCAUGGGUUAAUACCCCGUGAAACUGACGGUACCUGCAGAAUAAGCACCGGCUAACUACGUGCCAGCAGCCGCGGUAAUACGUAGGGUGCAAGCGUUAAUCGGAAUUACUGGGCGUAAAGCGUGCGCAGGCGGUUCGGAAAGAAAGAUGUGAAAUCCCAGAGCUUAACUUUGGAACUGCAUUUUUAACUACCGGGCUAGAGUGUGUCAGAGGGAGGUGGAAUUCCGCGUGUAGCAGUGAAAUGCGUAGAUAUGCGGAGGAACACCGAUGGCGAAGGCAGCCUCCUGGGAUAACACUGACGCUCAUGCACGAAAGCGUGGGGAGCAAACA